GGAAGUAGAUUCAUAUCAGAUAACCAGAAUCAGAAAGAUGUUCGUCUCAGACUGGCUGAGAACGGCGAGGUCCUUGACUGGAUGAGUACGGCGAGUCUGAGUUUGGGAGAGGGCGAGAGGCAAAACGACGAGAGUGCGUUUGGGAAACGAAGUAUUGAUUUGGAAUUAGGUUUUAAAAUUUUGCGUGUUAGUUUUUUUUUCCUUCACACCUCCACCUAGUCCAAGGCCACCUCGAUAUUCCUCAAUGUGCCGGCUAUUCAUGGAAGGUGAGAAGCAGAUGAAUAAGCAUCUGCUUACGGAAGAAAUCAAAGAAUUUUCGGACGCACCUACUUCACAUAGACUGCUUAGGCGGUCCCUGGGUGACAGUCCGCCCAACUGAAACGACUGAGGAAAUCCAGGCGGCUUUGCUCCGCCUAUAGCCUAAGCGGGGCAUGGAGGUGCCUUUUAAAACAUGGAUAAAAUCAUGUCGCCUAAUCGGCCAACCGCCCAGGCAGACUAGUCAGCCGAUAAAGCAGACUAGUCGGCAGACAAGGAGGGCUACCGCCUAGCUCUCAGGACUAAGCCAUAAUCGAAACGGUGCAAUGCCAACUAGCGCGUAGGUGGGCGGCUGGUCGGUUCUAGUAUGAGAAUGCCUAUGGUUUGGAUCAAAUGAAUUUGAUGCCCACAGCUGCAAUGUACGAUGCUAUAAUGGCUGAGAAGAACAUGUCCCGUGGGUUAAAGCUUUUUGAAGAAAUGAAAGAAGCAGAUGUAAAACCAGAUCAUCCGAUUUUCAGCAUUCUAUUGAACUAGGAAAAAGACUUGUUGCUAGCCGAUAAGGGCAUAUUCCAGUAGAGCUUCAAUGCUGUUUAAAGCGUGCUGGUCCAAUCCCUUGCUUCUUCAUGGGCAAUUGUCUGAUGCAUUUAUUUAUUUUUGGUCAGUUGUAUACUAGCAACGCGAUGCGUGUGCUGUGGUGUAUUAAUACAUAAAUAAAACAGAUUCUCUAAUAAAUUAUGAGUUAUUGUAAACAAAUAUAUAUUUUUGAUAACUCAUGUCAAGGUAGCCCUUACAGAUCUACCCGCUACCACCUACGAUACAAGACUUUGUAACCCUAAAAUUAUAGUGAUACGUAGUAUAGACUACCUAUGUUUGAAACUCAGGCUCACUUAUGAAAGCAAGCCUACUCUUGUGAUCAAUAGCAUAGUUGCAUAGUUUGUA